GUUUUGUAGUCUAAAGGCAGCUUGCUGACAGCACAGUGCUAGAUUUCCAGCUGCACCUGCCUCUUUCCUGCAAUGUUUUCAUGAUGAUUGACAAGUGACAUCUGAGUCAAAACAACCCAACACGCACCACAAUCCAGGCAAUAAUGUGCACAGCGCCGCAUCCGCCUGCAUAAUCUCAAACACACCUAAAGUUUUGGUGAGGCUGGGCAGCAUCAGGAUUUCCACAAGAAAAGCAAUGAUAAAACCCGUUCUGGAAAGCGUGCAGACAAAGCUGGUGUGUGCACCUAAAAAUUUACAGACACCCACAUGCAGCCGCCUCAUGCUCUGAUGUCAAUUCCUUAAACUCCAACCAGUGAAGACUACUGAGCCUACAACACAUACACCAGAUAAUCUAACACAUGAGAUUUUCAACCUUUUUUUUUUUUUUUUUUCCCCUCUCUUUCUACAGUUGCCAGUAUCUGUCCUCUUAGAAGUGCUGAAGGAGGUGGUCCUCUUGGAAAGAGGCCUAUUUAACACUGGCUCUUGUGUGCACUGCCUUCAGAGACAUCGUGUCCACAACCAGCUUCAGGAGGCAGGCACAUUUUCAAUGGCUUGACUGUAAGUACUUUAAGUAAGGGUACAGUUGUGUACAAUACUGCUUUGUCUGUUUUCAACAGCUCUAUAGGAAAUUCUCUUUUGGUUCCUUGUUUUGCACAGGUGUGGCUACAUGGAGCAGGUUUUCUGCAUCCUAUAAACAGGAUUUCUAUGUUACGUACAGCAUUGGGACCUGCUGUGGAUGUGGAAAGUUGUACAAAGACAACACACCUGGAUAUGUUGGAACAGGGAAAAGGGGAUUUAUUCUGAAGAUCCGUAUCCAGGAUACUGCAGUCAUUUUUGCAGCCAAGUGCAAUAGGUGAACGCUAGUCAGAAAAAAACUGUUAAAUUAGGUUAUUAAAUAUCCAAGAGAAUUAGAAGUUAUUGAGUCAUGCUAUUAAGUGAGCCUUGAGUUAAAACAUACUGUAUCAUUUGGUUUUAUAUUUUAUUAUUGUUUGUUAAGAAAUUAAUUAUUUUUUUACACACUUUGUUUAUUUUAGCUACCCUUCCAGCAUAUCAUCUUUGGCCUGCCUGUGGAGACAAGAAGAAACUUGGAUUAAACAACUGGUUCCGAGUCACGACGAGCAGACGUGUGUCUCCAGCUCUCCUCAACUCUUUGUCUUUUAAAGUUGCCAAGAAGCGACUUUAAUCACCGGGCUGCUGCAAAACAGCUACCACAACGAGGAGAGUCACAAGAUGGCUCUGAUGAAACAACGCAAACAAUUAAAAGGCACGUCAAUCUUCCUUAACGAGCAUGUUUAAAGUACCAUGCCGAUCUGGCAAAAGAAUACUUGGCAAAAAAAACAGAUCCAAUCAACUUGGAUUCUGAACUCCAGAAUCUUUGUCAAACCACUCGGUCCACCGGACCUGACGAAGCCUCUGGAAAUAAAAUCCAUGAAAGACUUCGAGAACUGUCGGAUUACGCAUGUUUGAAUCUUUGAAUUCAAGAAAAAUGUGAAAUGUGAACUCAAAAAAAAGAAACCCAUGGAUGUGAACUCUGACCCGAUUCUGACCUGAAGAACUCGAGCACAAUUCCCUUGAAAUGAGACCUUCAGUCUCUCAGUCAUAACAAUGAAGGUGGUUUACAAGAUUGUUUACGUGGCCUUAAACUUGUUCUAAGCUGUGAUGAAACACUGAUUCUGCUCAAAUUCCAUAAUAAUCGUUAUUUGAUAAAUACAAUCUGCUCAAAUUGUCUUUUUUAACGAGAGUAUUCUGAUAUCUUUUCCUGCAGUAACAAAUGAAGUUGAUUACUACUUGAUACUUUUUGAAUUUUUUCUUAAUGAGAAUGUUUAGAUUAUUGUUGAUUAAUAUAAAUGAUUUGUCUAUGGAUGUUUUUGAAAUUCUAUUACAUCACUGAUAUUAAUGAUACUUUAUAACCUGAAACUAUAUUAAUAUUUAAUAUUAAGUCCUGAACCAGAUAUUGAUAAUUCAUGUAGCGAAAAUUGUAUGGUCGAGCCGGGGUGGGAUUAUAUAAGUUCACUUCCUUCCACUCCCUUUCAAGCGAUCUACCUGUGAUUGAUUACAUGAUGUUAUUUCAUGUAUUGUUCCUGGUUGCUUAAAAUAAACUAUUUCAUUCAUUCAAGAACUGAUCUGAUGUUAAUUCUUCAGGGUUUUGUUUGUUUUAAUAAGACUUGAAUAAUUAAACAAUGGACAAACAAAGAGAAGUGUGCUCUUUUUUUGUAAAUCGAUUUUAUUAUUUUCAACAUGUUUAGAAAGGAAAUAUAACUGCAAUCAUACCUUUUAAAUCAGUGACAAGGUUCUG
rnacentral:lncRNA from 1 species